CCAGAUCCAGUUCAGGGCGGUUUGAGCCAGUUUCUGAGCUGGAUUGAGAACAACAGCCUCGGCAGAGACUUCACUAGGGUGAAACAUAAAAUGCAAAAUGGAUUUAGUCGAAAGAACCGGAUUUGGCCUGGACUCGCUGGAGCCUAAAGCUGUUUCCUGGAGUAGCAAAGUCAGAUAAAAUAUGAGGCCUGGACCAGGAACAGUGACCUGUUAACGGAAGGAAAAAUUACAGAGCACAGUCCCUGUGCCAUAAUCCAGUCCGCAUUUUCCCCCUCACUGCUCUUCAUUGUGGCUGGUUUUGUGCUUUUAGGUGGCCCUGCCUCUGCCGAUUUUGUGAUAAUCCUACCAGAUGAUGUGAAGAACGUGUGUAUCCACGUGCUCGGGCCCAAGGAGCCACUGGCACUGCUGCUCUGGUCCACCAGUGCUCGGCUUGAUGCCACUCGCCCCUCCCCCGCACCCCGCUGCAGCCUGGAGGAGGAGGAGGAGGAAGAGGAAUGCGGAAGGCAUUCCAGCUCCGCCCCUGCAAGCCACCACUCCUGCCGCGGGUUUAGGAAACUCCUAAGUGGGCUGAAAGAAGACAGCCAGCUGGUGACUGUACUUCUCCAGAUUUCCAAAUGAUGUGUUCUACAGCCGCACUACACCCUGCGCAUUGAUGGAUGUUGGUAGCUGGGCUGAGCCGGGUUGUGACCUCGUUAAAGAUGAGCACCGGGUCUGUCGCAACUCGCAAGGCCAGGAACAAUAGCAUAGUAAUAAAUGAUUUUCCGUAAACGCC